GAUGAACGCUAGCUACAGGCUUAACACAUGCAAGUCGAGGGACCGGCGCACGGGUGAGUAACACGUAUCCAACCUGCCCUUUACUCGGGGAUAGCCUUUCGAAAGAAAGAUUAAUACCCGAUAUAAAGGAUGGGGAUGCGUUCCAUGAGGUUGUUGGUGAGGUAACGGCCCACCAAGUCUUCGAUGGAUAGGGGUUCUGAGAGGAAGGUCCCCCGCAUUGGAACUGGGACACGGUCCAAACGCCUACGAGAGGCAGCAGUGAGGAAGAUUGGUAAAUGGGCGUUAGCCUGAACCAGCCAAGUAGCGUGAAGGAUGAUGGUUUAUGGGUCGUAAACUUCUUUUAUAUAAGAAUAUGUAUUAUAUUAAUAAGGAUCGGCUAACUCCGUGCCAGCAGCCGCGGUAAUUC
rnacentral:rRNA from 1 species